UAUAACCAUUAUGCCAGCAUCCUUGACUUACGUCGCAGUCCUCAGUCCCAGCUGGCAGUAUUCCCACAGGCUAUAAUACUUACCGAGGCAAGCUACAUUCCUAUGGAUUUAUCCUGCCACCAAAACUGAUGCUGGCCCAGUGAAAUGCGAGAUUCCCCUACCCACAAGGAGCAGAGGGCACAAAACACCAUGUCUGAUCAAAUGCCCUUCCCUUUCAACAAUUUCACGUACUUUUUCACUCUCUUUUCAAAGUUCUUUUCAUCUUUCCAUCACUGUACUUGUUCGCUAUCGGUCUCUCGCCAAUAUUUAGCUUUAGAUGGAAUUUACCACCCACUUAGAGCUGCAUUCCCAAACAACUCGACUCUUCGAAGGCACUUUACAAAGAACCGCACUCCUCGCCACACGGGAUUCUCACCCUCUAUGACGUCCUGUUCCAAGGAACAUAGACAAGGAACGGCCCCAAAGUUGCCCUCUCCAAAUUACAACUCGGGCACCGAAGGUACCAGAUUUCAAAUUUGAGCUUUUGCCGCUUCACUCGCCGUUACUAAGGCAAUCCCGGUUGGUUUCUUUUCCUCCGCUUAUUUGAUAUGCA
rnacentral:rRNA from 1 species